rnacentral:rRNA from 1 species
UGCAGUCGAGCGAACGGACGAGAAGCUUGCUUCUCUGAUGUUAGCGGCGGACGGGUGAGUAACACGUGGAUAACCUACCUAUAAGACUGGGAUAACUUCGGGAAACCGGAGCUAAUACCGGAUAAUAUUUUGAACCGCAUGGUUCAAAAGUGAAAGACGGUCUUGCUGUCACUUAUAGAUGGAUCCGCGCUGCAUUAGCUAGUUGGUAAGGUAACGGCUUACCAAGGCAACGAUGCAUAGCCGACCUGAGAGGGUGAUCGGCCACACUGGAACUGAGACACGGUCCAGACUCCUACGGGAGGCAGCAGUAGGGAAUCUUCCGCAAUGGGCGAAAGCCUGACGGAGCAACGCCGCGUGAGUGAUGAAGGUCUUCGGAUCGUAAAACUCUGUUAUUAGGGAAGAACAUAUGUGUAAGUAACUGUGCACAUCUUGACGGUACCUAAUCAGAAAGCCACGGCUAACUACGUGCCAGCAGCCGCGGUAAUACGUAGGUGGCAAGCGUUAUCCGGAAUUAUUGGGCGUAAAGCGCGCGUAGGCGGUUUUUUAAGUCUGAUGUGAAAGCCCACGGCUCAACCGUGGAGGGUCAUUGGAAACUGGAAAACUUGAGUGCAGAAGAGGAAAGUGGAAUUCCAUGUGUAGCGGUGAAAUGCGCAGAGAUAUGGAGGAACACCAGUGGCGAAGGCGACUUUCUGGUCUGUAACUGACGCUGAUGUGCGAAAGCGUGGGGAUCAAACAGGAUUAGAUACCCUGGUAGUCCACGCCGUAAACGAUGAGUGCUAAGUGUUAGGGGGUUUCCGCCCCUUAGUGCUGCAGCUAACGCAUUAAGCACUCCGCCUGGGGAGUACGACCGCAAGGUUGAAACUCAAAGGAAUUGACGGGGACCCGCACAAGCGGUGGAGCAUGUGGUUUAAUUCGAAGCAACGCGAAGAACCUUACCAAAUCUUGACAUCCUUUGACAACUCUAGAGAUAGAGCUUUCCCCUUCGGGGGACAAAGUGACAGGUGGUGCAUGGUUGUCGUCAGCUCGUGUCGUGAGAUGUUGGGUUAAGUCCCGCAACGAGCGCAACCCUUAAGCUUAGUUGCCAUCAUUAAGUUGGGCACUCUAAGUUGACUGCCGGUGACAAACCGGAGGAAGGUGGGGAUGACGUCAAAUCAUCAUGCCCCUUAUGAUUUGGGCUACACACGUGCUACAAUGGACAAUACAAAGGGCAGCGAAACCGCGAGGUCAAGCAAAUCCCAUAAAGUUGUUCUCAGUUCGGAUUGUAGUCUGCAACUCGACUACAUGAAGCUGGAAUCGCUAGUAAUCGUAGAUCAGCAUGCUACGGUGAAUACGUUCCCGGGUCUUGUACACACCGCCCGUCACACCACGAGAGUUUGUAACACCCGAAGCCGGUGGAGUAACCUUUUAGGAGCUA